GAUGAACGCUGGCGGCGUGCCUAACACAUGCAAGUCGAACGGGUGUGGUAUCAGGGAAAAGGGGUUUACUUCUUUGACCAGAUAACACACUAGUGGCGGACGGGUGAGUAACGCGUGGAUAACCUGCCUUAUACAGGGGGAUAACAGGGAGAAAUUCUUGCUAAUACCCCAUAGGUAUGUCUGACGCAUGUUGGACAUAUUAAAGCUUUGGCGGUAUAAGAUGGGUCCGCGUCUGAUUAGCUAGUUGGUGGGGUAAAGGCCCACCAAGGCGACGAUCAGUAGCCGGCUUGAGAGAGUGGACGGCCACAUUGGGACUGAGACACGGCCCAAACUCCUACGGGAGGCAGCAGUGGGGAAUAUUGCACAAUGGGGGAAACCCUGAUGCAGCGACGCCGCGUGAAGGAAGAAGGUCUUCGGAUCGUAAACUUCUAUCAGCAGGGAAGAAGGAAGUGACAGUACCUGAGUAAGAAGCCCCGGUAACUACGUGCCAGCAGCCGCGGUAAAAGUC
rnacentral:rRNA from 1 species